rnacentral:rRNA from 1 species
UCAAGCGCGUAAGAGCAUUUGGUGGAUGCCUUGGCAUAAAGAGGCGAUGAAGGACGUGACAGACUGCGAUAAGCUCGGACUUGCUGUCAAUAAGCUUAAUCCGAGAUCUCCGAAUGGGGAAACCCAAUAACUUAUAAGUGAAUUCAUAGCUUAUAAGGGCGAACCUAGGGAACUGAAACAUCUAAGUACCUAGAGGAAAAGAUAUUCCGUUAGUAGUGGCGAGCGAAAGCGGACCAGGCCAGUGCUACUUUUUACUAAACCAGAACUGUAUGGAAAGGCAGGCCAUAGUGAGUGAUAGCCUCGUAUGGGUAGAUAGUAAAAAAUAGACAUGAGUAGGGCGGGACACGUGAAAUCCUGUCUGAAUAUAGGAAGACCACUUCCUAAGCCUAAAUACUACUUUAUGACCGAUAGUGAACCAGUACCGUGAGGGAAAGGCGAAAAGAACCCCUAGCAGGGGAGUGAAAUAGACCCUGAAACCGGAUGCUUACAAGCAGUUGGAGCCUCUUUAUGAGGUGACAGCGUACCUUUUGUAUAAUGGGUCAGCGACUUAAUCUCAUUAGCAAGCUUAAGCCACAUAGGUGUAGGCGAAGCGAAAGCGAGUCUGAAUAGGGCGAUUUAGUUUAUGGGAUUAGACUCGAAACCGAGUGAUCUAGUCAUGAGCAGGUUGAAAGUGAAGUAAAAUUCACCGGAGGACCGAACCCACUAGCGUUGAAAAGCUACGGGAUGACUUGUGAUUAGGGGUGAAAGGCCAACCAAACUCGGAAAUAGCUAGUUCUCCGCGAAAACUAUUUAGGUAGUGCGUCGUGUGAAUCUUGUCGGGGGUAGAGCACUGAAUGGGCUAGGGGGAAGCAAUUCCUACCAAACCUAAUCAAACUCCGAAUACCGAUAAGUCUGCACGGCAGACAGUCCAUGGGUGCUAAGGUCCUUGGACGAGAGGGAAACAGCCCAGAUCAACAGCUAAGGUCCCCAAAUAAUGAUUAAGUGUGAAAGGGAGUGGGAACUCCAAGACAGCCAGGAGGUUGGCUUAGAAGCAGCCAUCCUUUAAAGAAAGCGUAACAGCUCACUGGUCUAAUUAAGAGAUCCUGCACCGAAAAUGUAACGGGGCUCAAAUCAUUUACCGAAGCUUUGACAAUUACUUUGUAAUUGGGUAGCGGAGCGUUCUGUAAGUCUGUAAAGGUGAUGCGUAAGCAUUGCUGGAGGUAUCAGAAGUGCGAAUGCUGACAUGAGUAACGAUAAGAAAUGUGAAAGACAUUUCCGCCGAAAUCCUAAGGUUUCCUGCGUAAAGCUAAUCUGCGCAGGGUUAGUCGGCCCCUAAGGCGAGGGCGAAAGCCGUAGUCGAUGGAAAGCAGGUUAAUAUUCCUGCACCAGCUGGUAGUGACGGAUGAAGUAAAUUGUAAGUUCUUACUGGAUUGAGCUUGCAGUGAAUUUGUCCCUGGAAAUAGCUCCAGCAUUAGACCGUACCAAAACCGACACAGGUAGGAGGGUAGAGAAUACCAAGGCGCUUGAGAGAACUAUGUUGAAGGAACUCGGCAAAUUACACUUGUAACUUCGGGAUAAAAGUGACCUGCUAUUGGGCAACCAGUAGGAGGUGGCACAGAAGAGGGGGUAGCGACUGUUUACUAAAAACAUAGCACUAUGCAAAGUCGAAAGACGACGUAUAUGGUGUGACGCCUGCCCGGUGCCGGAAGGUUAAUAGGAGGGGUGCAAGCCCUGAAUUGAAGCCCCGGUGAACGGCGGCCGUAACUAUAACGGUCCUAAGGUAGCGAAAUUCCUUGUCGGGUAAGUUCCGACCUGCACGAAUGGCGUAACGAUUUCCCCACUGUCUCCAACAUAGACUCAGUGAAAUUGAAUUCUCGGUUAAGAUGCCGAGUAACCGUGGUUAGACGGAAAGACCCCGUGCACCUUUACUGCAGCUUUGUAUUGGUAUUAGGGAACAGAUGUGUAGCAUAGGUGGGAGACUUUGAAGGAUUGGCGCUAGCCAGUCUGGAGUCACCAGUGAAAUACCACUCUUCU